GGCUCAGAACGAACGCUGGUAGCGUGGAUUAGGCAUGCAAGUCGAACGGGAUCCAUGAAGUAGCAAUACGGAUUGGUGAGAGUGGCGGAAGGGCGAGGAACACGUGAGCAACCUGUCCUUGAGGUGGGGAAAACCGUUGGAAACGACGGCUAAUACCGAAUGUGGCGCCCGGAGACAUCUCCGGAGCGCUAAAGGGGGCCGCAAGGCUCUCCCUCUUCGAGGGGCUCGCGCACCAUCAGCUUGUUGGCGGGUAACGGCCCACCAAGGCUUACGGUUAGCUGGUCUGAGAGGAUGGCCAGCCGCACUGGGACUGAGAUACUGCCCAGACUCCUACGGGAGGCUGCAGUCGAGGAUCAUUCGCAAUGGGGGAAACCCUGACGAUGCGACGCUGCGUGGAGGAAUGAAGGCCUUCGGGUUGUAAACUCCUGUCAUGAUGGAAAAGGAGAGGGGACCCAACACGUCCCUUAUUUGAUGGUACAUCAAGAGGAAGAGACGGCUAACUCUGUGCCAGCCGCGGC
rnacentral:rRNA from 1 species